UUAUUAAAGGAAUUUAGAAAUGGGCUCAAAA
rnacentral:piRNA from 1 species